CAGACAUGUGACUGCCAAACUACCAAAGAUACUGAAAUGUUUUUUGUCUUUAAAAACGGAAGGAAGUCAAAUGGACACAGUUGUUUUUCAACUUCCUCUUCACAACUGGCAAAGCUCAUCACUCUGGAUUUAUUUACAAGGAAAGCAAAACCUAAAAGAAGUUACAACUGGCCUCACACAACAAAUAGAUCAGACUGAGGGAAGCAUACCGACACAGGAUGUUGAAGAUAUCAGGACAAAUCAGCUGCUGUGUUGCUCUCCUCCUGACCCUCACCUCUGUGUCAGCUGUAAGACGAACACUCAAUUCAAUCAGUGACCUGAAGACUGUAGGCUUUGGCCAGUCUGUGCCUGAGUACAGCCUCCGCUUGCUCCACUGGUUUGCCAAUGAAAUUGACAUUAACAAUGAUGACAUCCUGCUGACCUUUGACCCAAACAGUGGUGAUUAUGGCUCACAUCGAUAUCACAAUGAUGAAGAGCUGUUAGACCCACUGCCGAGGGGAUACCGAUACUACACUGUUGGUAAUAUCUACCAAGAUGCAUCACUGGAACUUCCAGAUUAUGUCACGGAGUCGGACAUUGAGGAAAGUAACAGGGUUCGCAUUAUAGUUAGAGUCAGGCAGCAGAACGCAGCACGGAUAAUAGACCAAGUCUAUAUCACACAGCAUUAUGAGACAUAUGAAGAUCGAGGGACAGAGUAUGAUCCACAACAUACAUAUCAGGUCACUGUCUGCCUCCUAAGAGCGAUCAGAAAGUUUUCCUUGGACCGCAAUAACAUCACCUCAAUGAGGUCUCUCAGAGACCACUUUGGAAGCAGUGCUGAUGAUUUACAGUUAGAGCACAUCAGAAACAUGUGGGGUCACCUUGCUUCUCUCGGACUGUUGUUUCACAUUGUGGGGUAUACUGGGCCAGUACAAUCCUACUGUAACCAAGCCCAGUUGGCAUCGAGAAGAAAUGAUUCAUGGAGCAACAUUCAAGACUGUCUAGGUUUCUUAUGUCGUUUGUUUUUAGUUGCCGUUUUGUUUUUUCUUUUGUUAGCAGCAGCAAAUAAAAAGUGAGUAAACAAUGUGAAGAGAAAACUUGUUCCAAGAUUGUUCAAACUAACUGUAACUGUUGGACCAGAAAACCAUCUGGAUCUUUAUUUUGAACAUGGUCUUCACUUGUUUUGGGAAAAAACAAUUAGCCAGUUGCAACAUCUGUAGUACCACUAGAUGACUGACGAGAAAUUUUGUAAAAGUGUUAUAAAACUUUCCACUUUGUAUUUUUACUCUCUAAUAUGAGUUAAUUUUCUGCUAAGUUUGAAAGUUUUAAAUGGACAGACCCACAGCAUGCUUGCAGUGAAAGGCCAAAUCAAUAUUUUGUAUAUUAGCUACUCAAAAUGGUUCUUACUGUGUAUCAUCUGUACAAUGUCUACUCAUGUGUAAUCUAACAGUAGUGACUCCCAGCAGAUUCAUCCAGUGAGGCUCAAGGACAAUAAUGCUGAUGGAGGAAUGACAGACAUGUUGAUUAAGAGUGUAUCUGACUGAUGCUUUUGUAUUUUUUCUGUUUUGUGCUCAUUAAACUGUAUUUUCAAGCAUGA